GAUGAACGCUAGCGGCAGGCCUAAUACAUGCAAGUCGAACGGUGUCUUCGGACAUAGUGGCGCACGGGUGCGUAACACGUAUGCAACCUACCUUACAUUGGGGGAUAGCCUUUCGAAAGGGAGAUUAAUACCGCAUAAGACAGUAGCUGGGCAUCCAGCAGCUGUUAAAGAUUUAUCGAUGUAAGCUGGGCAUGCGUCCAAUUAGCUAGUUGGUGAGGUAACGGCUCACCAAGGCAAUGAUUGGUAGGGGAACUGAGAGGUCAAUCCCCCACACUGGCACUGAGAUACGGGCCAGACUCCUACGGGAGGCAGCAGUAGGGAAUAUUGGGCAAUGGACGCAAGUCUGACCCAGCCAUGACGCGUGCAGGAUGAAGGCGUUAUGCGUUGUAAACUGCUUUUAUACAGGAAGAAACGACUCUUGCGAGAGGCAUUGACGGUACUGUAUGAAUAAGCACCGGCUAACUUCGUGCCAGCCGCCGCAGUAACAC
rnacentral:rRNA from 1 species